GACGAACGCUGGCGGCGUGCUUAACACAUGCAAGUCGAACGGAAAGGCCCUGCUUGCAGGGUGCUCGAGUGGCGAACGGGUGAGUAACACGUGGGUGAUCUGCCCCUUACUUUGGGAUAAGCCUGGGAAACUGGGUAAUACUGGAUAGGACCAUGCUGUAGGUGGUGUGGUGGAAAGAUUAGUUUCGGUAAGGGAUGAGCUCGCGGCCUAUCAGCUUGUUGGUGGGGUAAUGGCCUACCAAGGCGUCGACGGGUAGCCGGCCUGAGAGGGUGGACGGCCACAUUGGGACUGAGAUACGGCCCAGACUCCUACGGGAGGCAGCAGUGGGGAAUACUGCACAAUGGGCGCAAGCCUGAUGCAGCGACGCCGCGUGGGGGAUGACGGCCUUCGGGUUGUAAACUCCUUUCAGCCAUGACGAAGCCCUUGUGGUGACGGUAGUGGUAGAAGAAGCACCGGCUAACUACGUG
rnacentral:rRNA from 1 species